GCUGUAGUGAAGAUUUGAGAAGUGAAACAGAAAGCAAAAAUCUGUAGUUUUACAUGUCUUGCUGACUCAGGAGAGGAAAGACAUCUUUGCCUCUUAACCAGUUGUCCUCGCCACCCCCUCAGCCCCGAACUGCCGCUGGCUCUGGUAAGUUAGCAAGCAAUGCCAACAAGUGGGAAAUAAUCGAUCCUUAUACCUAACACUUUAAAUCAAAAGCAUUUAAUAAUUUUCACCAACUGUCCAAAAUAUUGCUGUUUCCGGUGGUUAAAAUGCUGUUUGUGGGGGAUACUGAGAUUAUUUAC
rnacentral:lncRNA from 1 species